AGUGAACGCUGGCGGUAGGCCUAACACAUGCAAGUCGAACGGCAGCACAGUAAGAGCUCGCUCUUACGGGUGGCGAGUGGCGGACGGGUGAGGAAUACAUCGGAAUCUACUUUUUCGUGGGGGAUAACGUAGGGAAACUUACGCUAAUACCGCAUACGACCUACGGGUGAAAGCAGGGGAUCUUCGGACCUUGCGCGAUUGAAUGAGCCGAUGUCGGAUUAGCUAGUUGGCGGGGUAAAGGCCCACCAAGGCGACGAUCCGUAGCUGGUCUGAGAGGAUGGUCAGCCACCCUGGAACUGAGACACGGUCCAGACUCCUACGGGAGGCAGCAGUGGGGAAUAUUGGACAAUGGGCGCAAGCCUGAUCCAGCCAUACCGCGUGGGUGAAGAAGGCCUUCGGGUUGUAAAGCCCUUUUGUUGGGAAAGAAAAGCAGCAGGUUAAUACCCCGCUGUUCUGACGGUACCCAAAGAAUAAGCACCGGCUAACUUCGUG
rnacentral:rRNA from 1 species